rnacentral:rRNA from 1 species
AUGCCUUACACAUGCAAGUCGAACGGCAGCACGGGGGCAACCCCUGGUGGCGAGUGGCGAACGGGUGAGUAAUAAAUCGGAACGUGCCCAGUAGUGGGGGAUAACCAGUCGAAAGAUUGGCCAAUACCGCAUACGACCUACGGGUGAAAGCGGGGGAUCGCAAGACCUCGCGCUAUCGGAGCGGCCGAUUUCCGAUUAGCUAGUUGGUGAGGUCAAAGCUCACCAAGGCGACGAUCGGUAGCUGGUCUGAGAGGACGGCUAGCCACACUGGGACUGAGACACGGCCCAG